UCUAAGGAAAUACAAAAUAACAGUACCUCCGAAUAACAUUUUGAUUAAAAAUCAAAUCGGAGAUACUGUUAUUUUGUAUUUUCUUAAA